CGCGGCCUAUCAGCUUGUUGGAGAGGUAACGGCUCACCAAGGCAUCGACGGGUAGCUGGUCUGAGAGGAUGAUCAGCCACACUGGAACUGAGACACGGUCCAGACUCCUACGGGAGGCAGCAGUGGGGAAUAUUGCACAAUGGGCGCAAGCCUGAUGCAGCGACGCCGCGUGAGGGAUGACGGCCUUCGGGUUGUAAACCUCUUUCAGUAGGGAAGAAGCGAAAGUGACGGUACCUGCAGAAGAAGCACCGGCUAACUACGUGCCAGCAGCCGCGGUAAUACGUAGGGUGCGAGCGUUAUCCGGAAUUAUUGGGCGUAAAGAGCUCGUAGGCGGUUUGUCGCGUCUGUCGUGAAAGUCCGGGGCUUAACCCCGGAUCUGCGGUGGGUACGGGCAGACUAGAGUGCAGUAGGGGAGACUGGAAUUCCUGGUGUAGCGGUGGAAUGCGCAGAUAUCAGGAGGAACACCGAUGGCGAAGGCAGGUCUCUGGGCUGUAACUGACGCUGAGGAGCGAAAGCAUGGGGAGCGAACAGGAUUAGAUACCCUGGUAGUCCACGCCGUAAACGGUGGGCGCUAGGUGUGGGGGACAUUCCACGUUCUCCGUGCCGCAGCUAACGCAUUAAGCGCCCCGCCUGGGGAGUACGG
rnacentral:rRNA from 1 species